rnacentral:rRNA from 1 species
GAUGAACGCUGGCGGCGUGCUUAACACAUGCAAGUCGAACGGAACGGCUCCUGCUUGCAGGGGUACUCGAGUGGCGAACGGGUGAGUAACACGUGGGUGAUCUGCCCUGCACUUCGGGAUAAGCCUGGGAAGCUGGGUCUAAUACCGGAUAGGACGAUGGUUUGGAUGCCAUUGUGGCAAGUUUCUCGGUGUGGGAUGAGCUGGCGGCCUAUCAGCUUGUUGGUGGGGUAAUGGCCUACCAAGGCGUCGACGGGUAGCCGGCCUGAGAGGGUGUACGGCCACAAUGGGCCUGAGAGACGGCCCAGACUCGUACGGGAGGCAGCAGUGGGGAAUAUUGCACAAUGGGCGCAAGCCUGAUGCAGCGACGCCGCGUGGGGGAUGACGGCCUUCGGGUUGUAAACUCCUUUCGCUAGGGACGAAGCGCAAGUGACGGUACCUGGAGAAGAAGCACUGGCUAACUACGUG